UGGAUUGUUCACCCACCA
rnacentral:snRNA from 1 species